UAAUUUGAGUUUGGUGUGGAUCAGGAGCCCUGAGGAGCCUUCACCAUGAUUAAAGUUCUAACGGUGUGUGUGGUGCUGCUGGCUGUGCUUUUCUCAACACAGGUUGAUGCACAAUCUCCUCCAGUAAAUAGUACAAAUAGCACGACGCCAAACGAUGGAUUCCUGGUUCUGCCCAGCAUCCUCAGCCUCAUCCUCCCUGCUGGCCUGCUAGUGUCUCUGCUCCAUGAUCUCCACUGCUGAAUUGCUCAUGCUGGGGAGAUCCUGAGUAACAAUGGAUGGAGCCACACCCAAAGAGCUGAGCUUUCUAAAUUCUUGAGUCGAGGUGGAAAAGAUGUCCUGUCACCUACUGGAGAUCUGCCUGCAGUGGAUUAAAGGAGUCUGUUUUGACUUGACUAAGGAUCUACAAAAUGAAGCUCUUUUGGGAAUGUCACUCCUGAAAUUCAGUUCCUCUGAUGCCCAGGAAAUCGAGCUGUGCUGAUUGAGGCGGAUGAAGAAUUGACCUGUUCACUCUGUGUUUCUCACUUAGUUUGCUGUAGAAGUUCUUUUAGGACUUAUUGAAUGGCAUUUUUUACAUUGGAUUUUAAAUCCAAUGUCCCUAACUAAAAUCCUGUUUUUGUAUGAGUAACCAUAAUUGUAAUGGCCCCCAAUAAAAGCUUACUUCACUA